CGCCCUCCCGAAGGUUAAGCUACCUACUUCUUUUGCAACCCACUCCCAUGGUGUGACGGGCGGUGUGUACAAGGCCCGGGAACGUAUUCACCGUAGCAUUCUGAUCUACGAUUACUAGCGAUUCCGACUUCAUGGAGUCGAGUUGCAGACUCCAAUCCGGACUACGACAUACUUUAUGAGGUCCGCUUGCUCUCGCGAGGUCGCUUCUCUUUGUAUAUGCCAUUGUAGCACGUGUGUAGCCCUGGUCGUAAGGGCCAUGAUGACUUGACGUCAUCCCCACCUUCCUCCAGUUUAUCACUGGCAGUCUCCUUUGAGUUCCCGGCCGAACCGCUGGCAACAAAGGAUAAGGGUUGCGCUCGUUGCGGGACUUAACCCAACAUUUCACAACACGAGCUGACGACAGCCAUGCAGCACCUGUCUCACAGUUCCCGAAGGCACCAAUCCAUCUCUGGAAAGUUCUGUGGAUGUCAAGACCAGGUAAGGUUCUUCGCGUUGCAUCGAAUUAAACCACAUGCUCCACCGCUUGUGCGGGCCCCCGUCAAUUCAUUUGAGUUUUAACCUUGCGGCCGUACUCCCCAGGCGGUCGAUUUAACGCGUUAGCUCCGGAAGCCACGCCUCAAGGGCACAACCUCCAAAUCGACAUCGUUUACGGCGUGGACUACCAGGGUAUCUAAUCCUGUUUGCUCCCCACGCUUUCGCACCUGAGCGUCAGUCUUUGUCCAGGGGGCCGCCUUCGCCACCGGUAUUCCUCCAGAUCUCUACGCAUUUCACCGCUACACCUGGAAUUCUACCCCCCUCUACAAGACUCUAGCCUGCCAGUUUCGAAUGCAGUUCCCAGGUUGAGCCCGGGGAUUUCACAUCCGACUUGACAGACCGCCUGCGUGCGCUUUACGCCCAGUAAUUCCGAUUAACGCUUGCACCCUCCGUAUUACCGCGGCUGCUGGCACGGAGUUAGCCGGUGCUUCUUCUGCGGGUAACGUCAAUCGCCAAGGUUAUUAACCUUAACGCCUUCCUCCCCGCUGAAAGUGCUUUACAACCCGAAGGCCUUCUUCACACACGCGGCAUGGCUGCAUCAGGCUUGCGCCCAUUGUGCAAUAUUCCCCACUGCUGCCUCCCGUAGGAGUCUGGACCGUGUCUCAGUUCCAGUGUGGCUGGUCAUCCUCUCAGACCAGCUAGGGAUCGUCGCCUAGGUGAGCCGUUACCCCACCUACUAGCUAAUCCCAUCUGGGCACAUCUGAUGGCAUGAGGCCCGAAGGUCCCCCACUUUGGUCUUGCGACGUUAUGCGGUAUUAGCUACCGUUUCCAGUAGUUAUCCCCCUCCAUCAGGCAGUUUCCCAGACAUUACUCACCCGUCCGCCGCUCGUCACCCGAGAGCAAGCUCUCUGUGCUACCGCUCGACUUGCAUG
rnacentral:rRNA from 1 species